CACUGUGCCAGGGAAGCCCGACGGCGAUUUUAUGCAGACCUGAGCACGACAGCCGGGGCCUGUCACCCAGCUCUCAAGUGAAGAUCCAGGGGUAUUUGCAAGCAGAAAUAAUGGGCCGCUGCAGCUUUUUAAAGAGACAUGAUUUAUCUCCGGGAUGGAUCCAGGCCGGCGCUGCUGGAGGACAAUCCCAGGCUCUGGCCGGGGGGACGUUGUUCAUGCCUCGGCGGCCUGUCUGCAGAGGGGGAACAGCGAGGCUCCGCCUGCCGGGGUGACCGGGAGUUGGGGUGACCUGCGCCGGGCAGAGAAACACACCCCACGGAGGGCGGAGAUCUGGGAAAUUUCUGUUGAAUUUGAACCACAUGAUGGUGAACUGGGUGACUCAGAGUCCAGCUGGAACGUCUGCAGGCAGAAUCACGUGGUUUGGGCGCCUUCAUUUCUCUAGAGCAGGAAUGUGUGCUUGCGAAGAUGCAAGUGACGUACCUUUGAUUGAAAACAGCUGCACGCAAGUGCAAGCCUUUUUCGCCAGUUAACUGGACUGUGCCGACGCCAGGUGUCCACCCAGGGCCCUUCUUUCUCACUAACAGGACCCUGAUGGCCCCGCGCUCCAGCCAUGGCCAGCCCCCUGGCCGCUGUGCCCGUGUGACCCUAUUCUCGCCCCAAGGUGGAGGCAGGCGGCCGCUGGGGAUCCUGGGAAAGCGCGGCUGCCCCGAUUCAGCCUCUUCCUCCUCUCGCCGCUCCUGCUUCCCUCCUGGCGGGGGGCAGACACGACGCCGAGGAGCAGCAGCAUCCGCAGCCACAGGGACCCUGCAGGAAAGGCGCAAGCCGAGGACGGAGGCAGAACGGCGGAAGGAGACGCGCUUGGCGUAUCGUGCAGCCCUGCACCAGGCCUGGACCGCCGCCCCCUGGCCUCACUGACCGGAAACAGGCCAGUCACCCUGGGUUAAGCCACUGGAACUGGUGGAGUCGAGCCGAGCGCAGUCCUGGCUGGAAGCGGUCACAGCUGGCCCUUGAGAACGGCGGCCCUGAGGUCCGCUCACCUGUGAACUGGGUUCACAGCAGUGGGGGUCCCCAAACUCAUUUGUCCUAGGAUGGAGACAGAAUGCAGCAUCACGGGACACCCAGCGACCCCCUUCACGGGCCAGGUCAGCCGACGCUUUCAAAAAUAAACCCAGAAUUAGGGAAACUUCUUCUGCGCCCGCCAUCUGAAUCCUUCCAGACUCUGGAAGUGUGAUACCUGCACGUUCCCUUCGUGGAGAGAACGUCCCCCGUGCAUCCUCCAGCGUCCACUUCCCCUUCUUGAAUGAACAGAACCUGAUCAUCAUUUGAGAAUUCGCCUUCCCACCUCAGCCUGCGUGUUUGGGGUGGGCUGAUGCAGGACCCCAGGCCUGGCCCGGGGGGGACUCAGUGAUGGGACCUAAGCUGGCCACUCAGUGACUUGGGGCUCUCGUGGCACCUGCUCUUGUCCCUGGACUUGAACCUGAGCGAGUGCAGGGCAGGAGCUGUGUUGGAGCCGCACGGGGCGCCUGCAGCCCCUGGGCCCCAGCGGAGCCUGGCGGGAGCCGGCGCCGUGGUGGGGGUCGGGGCCACUCAGCCGAGUCCAGGGGGCGGCGUGUGACACGCAGACCCGGCUCUGCCUGAAGACCUAGCACCGUGCACCAGCCUGUUGAUGCCCUCGGCCUGAGCCACCCGAGUCAGGUCUCUGUCCCUUGUCACCGAGAGAAUCCUGCAGGAAAAGAUUCCGUUAGGGGCAGGGACUUCCCUGGCCGCUUGGGAAACCUCCAAUCUGCCCAGAAACCAGGAGGACAUUUACACCUGCUCAGUCUUUUCCUCUGCGAGGCUUGCCCUCUGCCACGUGGAGUCAUCUUCUUUGGCUGAAUUCAGGGAGCUGUCAGGGAACCGUAACUGGGGUUGGCUCUCCCCACUUCUUGCCAGGAGAACACACUUGGGUCUGUUUUAGAACCUGAAUAAUAUCAUCGUGCCCUCUGUGUGCAGAAAUGGACUGUUCUUACUUGAAGAGGGAAUUGUGGGCACCUUGACUUUUGAGGUUUGUAAGCGAGCAAGCCUACCUCGGACCCCUGUGCCGGGAGGUCAGAGGCUGUGGUCGCAGCUGCUCCGUGGCGCCCUUCCCUGCAUCCCAGCAUCCAGGGCUCUGCCCCAUCCCUUCCCCGGGUCUCUCAGCUCCCCCUGUGCCACCACCAAAGGCUCUAUUUCUGGGGAUUAAAAAGGCGGGGAUGACGGGGCAGCUCUGUCUGCAGAGCUCCGAGGAGCAGUGGUCUUGGUUGUCUCUUUGUUAAAUGGAAGCCGCUGCCUCCUUGAAGGGGCAAAAUGAGCUGAGAGCCCAGACAUGGUCCCCUGCAGAGGCGCCAACAGGAGAGAUGCAAACGCCUCUGGGACUUGCCUCAAGGAUCGACCCUCACAAACUGCGAGUGUCAGGUCCCGGCCGAGGCUGGGUGGGCUUACUCCUAACAGCCCCUCUGUUUCUAUCCACGGAAUAACCUCCACUGACGGCCCCUGGCCGCUUCUGCAGUCGCUGCUUCUCUGCUUUCUAGGGGCCCCUGUCCACUUCAGGCCUUGGGGCGGGGUCCACGUUCUAAUUCUAGAACUCGGUGCUUCAGGGCACCAGGCCUCUCCCAGCCUGGGAGCAAGGGGUCCCUAGAGCAUCACACUCCUCCCCUUUGAGCGGCCUCACCUUAUUCCAGGCCCUAUAAUUUAUGGUUGCCCAAAGAUGACAUGUUUCCCUGAACUAAGGCCUGGCCCUCCCCCUGCAGACCCCGCGACUGUUAUAUUACCUGCUCUCUUUACUUGUGGCAUUUGUUAUUUUCUGCAAUUGUCUUGGGUAUUGAUGUAUUUACCUCCUUCUCUAUUGUCCGCCUCCCAGACUAUAACACUAGCUCUCUGGGGUCGGGCUGCCUCUGCCUCCUUCUCUCUUAUUUCCCUGGAGCCCACGGCAGCAGUCGGUACCCAGAAGGAGCUCAGUGAAUGUGGGAUUACUCAGACGACUGACAGAAGGAGUGAACACAUGAGGCAAAGAUGCCCCAGCGCAACAGAGUCCCAUCCCACUGGUCCAGCAAGGACAGUAAAAAGAAAGGCCUCUUUCCCAGUAUUCCAGCGAAAGCCCUGGGACUGACGCAGAUCAGACAAGCUGGGCUCACAGACCCGCCUCCUGAUGGAAACAGCGCUCCUCCUCCUGUUCUCCAUCUCCUGCCCCCCUACCCUCGCUCCGUAGGACUGGCGCCGUCGUCCUGACCACAGAUGACACAAGGAGGGUGCAGCCAUGAGGACGUUUCCACCAAAGGCGCUUCUGCUCACAGCUCAUGGGGGGUUCUUGCCACCUGUUGGGAGAAAGAUGGUCGGAUCCUAACAGCUCUCAGGACGCAGCGUGUUUAUGUCCAAGCCAGUCUGAGGCCCUGGUCACUUCACAGCCCAGGCAUUUAUUGAGCUGCUGCUGGGCUGCAGUGGCCCUGGAGAUGGGGAAGUGAGCGACAGCACGGCCUCAACCUCUCCAGGCUCGCAGUGGAGGGAGGGAGGUGAGCGGGGGCCCCACGCCCAGAUGAUCCCGGCCCCAUCGAUGCACUUUCUGGUUUUCCCUUCGUGGAGCCCGUGUUCAGAGCACAGAGACACCCUGUGUUGUGUGCAUUUUAUAAACCUGGGGGACUUAACAGUAACAUGUAGCCGACAGUGGUGGGGGCGGGGCACGGAGGGAGGAUUUGAGGAAAGACCAAGAACAGCGUGGAGAUGCCAGUUUCUCCACCGAGAGCUGUGGGCAGAUGGUAUCUGACGGGAUAAACGGGGCCGCAGGGAAACACUGUCCUGUCCUGCACAAGCAUUUAUCGAGUGACUGCUGUGUGCAUUGCACUGAGUCCUGUGUGGUGAGCAAAAUGGGUGGGAGUGGAUCUUUCUUUGGGGGCUUUGCCAUCUUGGAGGCCACCUCAUGGUGAAUGGACCCCAGACACCCAGGCUACAGGGACUUUCAAGUCCUCCCCCCUGGCCACUCUCUACAGCAGGGAGGGACCAAGGUGUGGGAGGGCGUUUUAGGCACAGUCAUGAUCUCCACUCCCCUUCUCGGCCACCCAGAUGAGCCUGGAAUCCUUGUCAAACAGGGGGCUUGCUAUGGGGGCAGCCUCUGCAGGACCCCCGGGCCCCCCUCCAGUGGGACUGCCCGCCCCCAGCCCCAGCCCUAGAGAAAUCCUGGAGCUGCACUGCCUGCAGCUUCCAGCCAUCAUCUGGGCUCCGAGAACUGUGAACCCCGGGCUGGCGCCGACCCCCGAGCCCAUCAGCCCUGAAAAUGACAGGCAACCCUCCAUCCCGUAUGCAGAACUCGAGGGCAGCCACCCGCUGCUUCGGGGGCCCCGUGCCCCGGGCGGUCAUUAGCCGAUGGGCCCCGGUCGAUUGGCCAGGAGAGCGGGGCGCAGACAGGAGCCGAGCCCGCUGCCUUCGCGGAGCCCACCCUCCUCUGCGUGGAGCCGCGUCCGCCCUCGGGGUCACCCCUCCCCCCACCGUGCAGCCCGGCCUCCCACGCGCGGCCGCUGGGUGGUUUGCAGCAGGUCUGCCUGUCGUGUCCCCCACGAAUCAUGUCCUCAUCGAAGUGGGCAGCGAACCUUACAAACCUGCCCCGGGGAGGCCUGAGAGCCGCCCUUGGGGGCGUGGGCACUGCGCUCAGGCCAGGGGGGAGCUGCCUGGACCCUCAGGAGUCUCUCCACCCCAGACCCCUGGAGGGUGAGGUGCGGGCUCCUGCAGAUUGGAACGAAGGUCCCUUUUGGGUUCCUGUCCCAGAUUGGGGGCCACGGGCAUGGCCAGGGAAGGGGCAGGGAGGGAACACCCAGGCUUCUUCUAGGGCUCUUGGGCCACAGGCUGCACACAGGCUGGACAGUCCCCUGGAGCAGGGACCGUGGUGGUUCAGAGGACAAAU